CGCCGCACGCAGCGCCGGCGCCACGCUGAGGAGAUUGGGAGGUGGGGGGGGGAGACGAAGGAAGGGAGGGAGGGGAGAGAGGAGAGCAAGGGCAGGGGGAAGCGUGCGCGCCCCCUAUGGCCCGGACACGCGCAGGGCGGUGCAGGGCGGCCCGUCCCGGAAGAAGCCUCCUUCUCCCUCCCUCCCCCACCCUUCCCCGCCCCGCGCUGUUCCGGGCCGCAAGAGAAGCCCUACGCAUGCGCAAAUGCAGCACCAAAAAUUCCCCACCACCACCCCCCUUUCCAGUCCGUCAGGUCCCCUCUGUCUUGCCGUCCGAGAUUGAGUGGGACGGCCGUUGAAAGGCGGUUGGGCCGGGGAGGAGGCCGUUGGUUGUGGGCCUGGAGAGGGGCGGGGCAACAGCUGGGGGGAGGGGCAGGGGAGUACAGACGAGGACAAGAGAGCUGACCCGCCCCACUGAAAGGGGGCAGCCUGGGCCAGAGGCGUCUCGGCUGGCUCCAGGAGGCGUCCUUCCCGCUUCUCAUGCCCCGCCCACUUCAGGCCCUUGGGCGCAUGUGCAGCCGGAGCCGAGGGGGCGGGCGAAGCUGGAGGAACUGCGGCGGUAAAACAGAGGCUCCUGCGCUCUGGCACCGUUCACAGCUGGACCGACCUACCUUUGCAAACAGGACUCCUCUGGGCCAGCCAGACCGGGCUGUGAAGUUGUGGCCCAUCUCCUCCCACUUCGGUGCAUUCUAACGAGCCACCGACUAUGCCUGAAGAGCACUUCCUCCUCGAUUGUCAAAAUCCUCUCCAAGGCUCAGGGCAAGUGCCACCUCAGCCUUGAAGCCUUCCAUGAUUUCGAAGGUGAAAGGGUUUCUUCAUCAAAUAUUUCUAGAGCUCUGUCUGGAUCUCCAUUGCCCUAUCACAUUCUGCCUUAUACUAUGCUUAUUUCAGUACAUCAAUUUUUCUUCUCAGUAGACCAUAAAUUCUUUAAAAGUGAGUAGUGCCCUUUUGCAUCUAGUUUCCCUGGCACCCUAUACAUAGUACGUAUACAAUAAAAUUUUUUGA